rnacentral:lncRNA from 1 species
UUGAUUCAGUUUGCCUUUUUGGUUUGAUCCUAAAUUGGCCUCUUGUGACUGUCUCUGGUGUUUCCCUGUGGUAAAUGAAUAAUUGCUCAGUAAACUAUUGAGUUAUAUCCUCAUUAGGAUGAGUCUUGAUUCAGUUUGCCUUUUUGGUUUGAUCCUAAAUUGGCCUCUUGUGACUGUCUCUGGUGUUUCCCUGUGGUAAAUGAAUAAUUGCUCAGUAAUCAGUAAUUAUUCACCUUAUCCUCAGUGGAGUUUGUGGUCUUCUACCUUCAUACCGGUAGUUGUAAAUCCCAUUUUUCCCCUCCCCAACGGAGUUUGCGGUUUUCUACCUUUAUACCGGUAGUUGUAAAUCCUACUUUCUUCCCCUAGCGGAGUUUGUGGUUUUCUACCCUUAUACCGGUAGUUGUAAAC